UCUGUAUGUCAGUACACUGCAGCCAUUUUGGUGCUGGAGGCUGGGGACAUCUCAAAGCUUUCUCAUGCACAUGUCUGAGGUCUGGGCUGAGAAGAUCCAAGUAUCUGGAGCUGCAUAAGUUGAGGCCCGAAGGUAUCUCUCACUCCAUAUGGUCUCUUCCCAAUGAGACCCAGGUAUUUUGUUUAUUUUUAUGUGGUGCUGAGGAUGGAACCCAGCGCUUCACAAGUGCUAGGCCAGCGCUCUACUGCUGAGCCACAACCCCAGUCGCCCCCUACCCACAUGCACUUCUUAGAGAACAACUGACAGUUCCCCCAGAGAACGUGGGAGAAGCUACUGGGCCUUCUUAACCCAGCCCUGGAAGUCACAUUGCAUCCCUGCUGCUAAGUUCUAGCCACAAAGGCCAUCAAAGAGGACUGCCUCGGCUCACGGCAGGGAACACAGACGUUAUUCCUUAGAGGAGCAGGUAAGAAUCCCUUGUCACUUUUAAAACCACAAUGAAACCGAGUUGCGGGAUGAAACUCAGUUCUCCACUUACUUCUGCUGGCAGCUGAGGUCUGCACACACCAGGGCCUCAGCAGCCCAUGGCGUUGCAGCUCUUAAUGGUGGACCAUCCCUCCAGCUUGCAGCAGAUCCCAGCCGCGCCUUUUCAAUUUCUUCUUUCAAGUUCUUUGGUGAGUGAACCCCUGGCUAGGACGCACUCAGCCAGGAGAGCAAACUGGCUUGGAGCACCGCCCCAGUGCGCCACUCUAGGAGUUUAUAUAGCUCUUGGUUUGCUGCUAUUGGUCCAAGUUGAUGCUAAUUAGGGUUUGGAACCGAACUAACGCUAUUGGUCAGUUUGUGAGACCCAUUCAGGUUUGCCCUCCCUUUUCUCCCAGCUUGGAAAAGCGGGAGGUUGGAGUCAUCAAUUGCGCAUGCUCAGUGGGGUGUGUGGCGCUAGCAGGGCCCGGGCCCAGGGUAUUCCCAGGGGUGGGAACCGGGUUCUAUACAGAGGCACAGUCCUCCUGAUCCCCUGGGGAAUUGGCGGAGUAUGCUUUGGGGCCCCACCUGCUCAACAGGGCCCAGAAACGGAAGACGUAAUCUCUGCCUCCUCGUGGCCUCCCACAGCAGGCGGCCCAUGGUGUGCAAGCCGGGCACCACGGAGUGACAGAUUCGCUUGCUCUGGCCCACCACGGCCCUGGCCCCUGGCGCCUCAGGCCCGCAGCACCUGUAUGGCGGGCUCCACCCAGCCCCGCUCCAACUCGGCUACUCCCCUGCCUCUUCUUAACAGGAAGGUUGGCUGCGCAGCUUGGCAGCCAUAGAGUCAUGUCAACAACAGCUCAGGGGACAUCUGACUUGGGGAACUGAGGAAGGUUCCCUGAGAGAGCACGAUGCUUGCCUGCCAGAAGACCUCGGCAUGAGGAUUUCCAGGGACCAGAGCUGCCCUGGCCCCAGCCUCCCAGCUGAUGGCAGAAAACCACUCCUUCGGUUCUUCACCACCAGCACCAGGCCUGAUGGAGCCCAGGGCUCAGGAAUUCAGCUGAGGGCACCGGCUGUGUGCCAGGCCCUGGAGUCAGAUAAUCCAGGCUGUGCUCAGAUGCUGCCCAAGCUGGGAGCUCCACCCUGGGCUCCAUCCACCACCCAAAGGUGGUGGUACCUGAGGAGGCCCUUCCUUUUAUCCUUAGUCUAAGACCAUUUCUGACCCUGCUUUUCCCACUAGUCUGGGUCUGGCUGACUGGAUGCCCCUCUGAGAGAAGCCAGAGUCCAAAAUCAAGGUGUCCGCAGAGCUACUUUGCCAGAGGUUUGGUCUCAGGAUCUGGAGUGGUCAUUCUCCCCCUACCGACCGAAGUUAUGCCCUCUGAAUUGUCCUUUGAAAGCUUCUCCGUGUCCCCACCCUGCCCUACUCUAUUGAUAAGGACAAGGUGGCAGAGGUCCUGUGCCCCGGGUUGGGUAUUUCCAGAUGAUUCAGAAAAAAAGUGAUGGAUGCCCCAAUGGUCUACACAGGAAAGGAGGAUUUCUGGCACCUCAGGUCACAUUUGGAGCUGGAAGGGACCCGAAGAGAGCCUCUCCUCACCCCAGCCACACAGAUGAGGAAACCGAGGUCCAAGACAAAGACAUGAUUUCCUCACUGUAACAGAAAGGCAGGCCAUGGCCAAGGACCUCACACUCUGGGCCUUUCUUAGGGUUCUGGGGUCCCACUCAGAAGGGAAGACUCAGAUCAGGAAAUGCAGAUGGACUCCCCAGAGGCAGGGCCUCUAUUCAGGUGAUUUAACUGGAGAGGCUCAGGAAGGAGGCAGUUGAAGCAGGGAGCUAAUGGAGAUGUGGUCUCCACUAGAGUGAGCCCCAACCUGAUGGCAUGGGGGAGGGGAGUUCUGGAACAUGAAUAGCAUCACAGUUAGUCCCGCCUGAGGCUUAGGGUCGCCUUUUGUACCACCCUGUGAGUCUAUCAUCAGCCAAGUUCUGCCCAGGCGGAGGGAGCUUUUAUUUGACUGACCACAGAGCUCCAGGGAAGGGACAGCUGUGAGCCAUUAGCAGCAACCCUCUGCAGCGGGGGUCAGGUGAGCCUGCAGGAGAGAAGGAAAAUAAGCUGCUCUCCUCCCCAAAGCCUCGAAGUCACCCCUGGCAUUUGCAGCACAGAAUACGGUGUCUAGGGACAGAGGACUGUCCUCUGCUGCCUCAGUUUCCAUGUUCACAAAAUGGGCGUGCAGACCAUGGGGGUGGGGUGCAUAGGUUCCCUUCCAAACCUGCCUUUCCAAGCUCCUGGGAUUCCACUUCUAACUCACCCCCAAGCUCCCACGACACCACCCCCUGCCCCAGACCCCCGCUUCCCCAGGGAGACUGGGGUGCGGUCUCCACUCAGGCAGCCCCAGGCCCACGGGGAGGGCCGAGGCAACAGUUGCUUGGCUGCAUACGUCCCCGCUGCCUGCCGAGCGGACCUAGGGAGUCAGUAUUUCUUGAAAUGUAAGUACCCAGACCACACUGGGCUGUCAGUAAAUUCAUUAUCCCAUUACACAGGCCUGAAUUAUUCAGCGCUCUGAGGCCGCCUCAGGAACGUGCCUGAGCACAGUCGAUGCGGGCAUUAGUGGGAUGGAUGGAGUCAGGCCCCGGGCACGGUUGGUGCCAGGGUGACAGAUCUGGGUCCAGAGAGGCUGCCGGGUCUGGAAGGCAUAAGGGGAAUCUCGCUAGCAGGGCCUGGGCCCAGGGUAUUCCCGGCGGUGGGCAUGGGGUUCUAUACAGAGGCACAGUCCUCCUCACCCCCUGGGGACUUGGCAGAGUAUGCUUUGGGGCCCCACCUGCUCAACAGGGCCCAGAAACAGAAGAUGUAAUCUCUGCCUCCUGGCUCUGUGACCUCCAGCAGUGGGUUCACCUCUCUGUGCCUGUUUCUUCAUGUGUAAAAUGCAGCCAUGAUGCUCCCAGUAACCACGUUCCCUUUUAACGUUAAUGAUAGUACAGAUUUUUCAUUGAGCACAUAAUUACUAGAAUAAAGACUGUUGGCUAAAGUGUGACCAGGUGACGAGGUGCGGUCAAAAGAAUACAAGGAGGCCUAUCUGUGGAGACUCUAAGGAAAAUCUUCAGUUUCCUGAAAGGAAGGGAGCGAGUGAAUCCUGUUUUUUCCUGUCCUUUCCCCUGAAAACAAGAGUAAGGUUAUAAUGGUUGGAGCUCAAGCAGCUAUCUUGCUCAAUGAGGAGAAGUCACAUGAGGAGGAUUUCCUUCAGGAUAGUGCAGGGUUUAGUACUUUAAGCCCUGAAACCAGAAGACCUAGAUUCAAAUCCCUACUCUGUCAUUUGUAGGCUGUGCAAUUUGAGACGGGUUGCUGAAUCUCUGAGCAACCCUGAAGAUACUUCAGCUUUCCCAUUUAGAAGAUGGAGAUAAAAAUGGUACCUCUCCUUGUACAGGGUUGGUGUGAGGACUGAGUUAAUAUGAAGCCAUAAGAAGUGACUGACACAGAUAAGUGUUAUAUAAACUUAGCUGCUAUUAUCUCCUUUCCACAUACCUGGCGGGAUUCCCUGUAUAACUCAGGAACCUGACCAACCCCUGGGUCUCCCAUAGUUGCCCCUUAGUCUGGAUUUUCCCUCACGGUGACUGCUUUUGGGCAGAAAGGUCGGGAGCAUUCUGAGCUUCAACCAGGAUGUGAACAGCUUUCUCUGGGGAAAAGAUCCCCACACCCCAAGCCAGUGGGAGGCAGAAACUGGGCGCCCAGGUCAGAGUCUAAACAAGGAACUGCUCUCUGGGAUCCAGGUGAGGGUGUUAGGAAGAGAGCAAGAGAAAUGAAGGCUCCUGACUUGCUGUGCAUCCUGAGCAGCUAUCGCUCCUCUCUGAGCCUCUGGGAAGUGAAUCAACUUGGAGAUUCCAGCAGCCAAGAGGCCAGUGAGGCAAAUGAAGUUUGUUGGUUCUGGGCAAUAGGGGGUGGUAGGGACUACGGCCAGGGAACCUGACCCAUCCGCGAGGGGAGGGUACCACGCAGCCCCAGCCAACCUGCCGUAGAGCAAAGCGGGCUCCCCACGGGCAAAUCUUCUACUUUUGCAGAAUGGAAGUCCAACUGAAGUCUUUGUGCCAUCUUCUGCUAGUUUAGAGCUGGCUCCAUUAAAACAAAACACGGAGCAAGGCAAACAGCACAUGUCCCCAGGCCAGCUAGGGGCCUGCCAGAUGUGAACAAGAGCUGAGAGGUCUCCGUGCAGGGGAGUCGGAACCCUUUGGUUCAGGGCUGGGGCCUCCCUGGGGAAGAUGGGUACAUGCUGAGUGUGGGGGUGACCCGGAGGAAAGGGGGACAGGAGGUGCCACUGAGGGAGCUGGGGUUCGUCCUUCCCUGGGAGGCGGGAGGUGAGCCCUUCCUUGCCUGGGCUCAGGGUGGCAGUGGGGUGAAGGGACAGGAGGUCUGUCCUGCAGCCUGUGGCCAUAGUCUGACUACCUGAACUUCAGGCUCUUCCUCUAAGAAUCAAAUUGGGAAGAUUUGUGCUUCUUCGUUGCCACCCAGUGUUGGUGGGAGGCAAGUCUCCCGCCAGCCCUCCUGAGGUCCCACCUGACAGGGACCGAGGGUACUUGGUCCUGACUCUUUACUCUCCCCACGUCUUUGCCUCGUGGCCCUGCAGGCCUCCCCGCGGCGGGGGUGGUCUACACAUACCGACCUCCCACCUCCGUGCAUGGAACCUCAGCAGGCUGACGGGCAGGGGCUGCUGGCUGGCCUCUUGGCACCUGUGCCGUCCACUGAGAAAGAGCAUCCCAGGUGGCCAAUGGUUGCAGAAAGAUCUGGACCCACAGCUCCAGCAGAGCCACCCCGGCUGACCCAUGGCACUCGGAGCAAGAAAGUAAAUGGUGAUGGGAGCCACUGCAGUCUGCCGCCGUUACACUCCUCGCUGCCGCAGAACCGCGACUGAUGUGCCCAGAGGACACCGGCUGCCCCAGCCCCGUUCCCAGCUCACUGCACAGAAGCGCCCACCCCGUCUGGUCAUCCACUGUCCCAGAAGCUCCUGUGCCCCUGGCCCCAAGGCAGACAGAGGGACUCUCCCUGAAACGGGGAUCCCCCACUCCAGGUCCCAGAGAGCUGCAGCCGGUCACCCAUCCUGGCUGUGAGACUUGGGUGCGUCACUUCUCCUAUCUGAUCCUCACCUGGGGGACGUGGGGGUUGCACCCAGCUCAAAGGGGAUCGGAAAGGGUCUGGUCUGCAGCAGGGUGAGGGCGGGGUGCCCAGCACUGGCAUUUGGACUCCUUAGGUGGGGGAAGGACUGAGCUCCGCAUGAGUCUAGGCAUGUGGGAUGGGGCAUCUUCAAUGAAAAAUCCUCACACCUGAAGGGAAGGAGCUACCUCCACCCCUGCUCCCCAGAGGCCACAGCUCCAAGUGCAGAGGGGAACCUGUCACUCUAGCCUAAAGGAAAGGUGAACAGGGUUACCCUACACCAGCACCAAAUUGCUCCUGUGUUUGGCAGUCUGUAUCAGUUCAUACAGUUUUGAGCUUCAACUAAAAAAUAGAAAAUAAUAAUAAUAGUUCAUUGCUGCUUAAACACAAAGGUCUCCAUCUUCUCAUAUAACAAGGAGCUGGAGGGCGAUAAUGUUGAUUCAGGGCUCAAUGAUAUCUACAAGGACCAACACUCCAUCCUUCUUCUCACCACCCUCACUUUUUGGUUUUUUUAUCCUUAGUCUUGUUGCCUCAUGGCCACAAAAUGGCUGCUGUGGCUCUAAACAUUUCACUUUUACACAACCUCAUUCAAGGUAAGAAGGAAAUAAAGAGGGGAAAAGAGUUUCUUGUUAUCGGAAAGGAAAGUGUCCUGGGAAGCACCCCUUUAUCUAUGGCCAGAAAUGAGCCACAUGGCCAACCUAACGCAUGGUACAGUAAGAAUGCAGAUAUCUUGGGAAAAAGACAGGGAUGGUUAUGACAGCCUGUAGCUAAUCACAGUUUAUCCCCCAGAUUUUGGCAUGUUGUUGCCUGAACAUUAUGAGGCUUCCGUUGUUGUCAAAGCAGAAGAAGGGCAGGCUCUAAGGUAGACUUUAAUGUUGUUGGCUAGAAGUCCAGGAAUCCGAGUCUCACAGAGGACGGUGCGCCAGGCAGGGCUCUUCAUUAUAAACCACAGAAGCCCCCUUGUGGCAAACAGCAGAUUCCACUUUAUGGCAAACACCAGAAUUCACUGUGUGGCAAAUAGCUAAUUCUACUCUGCCGCAAACAGCAGGCUCUGGGAGGAACCCCACCCAGGGACACCACAGGACUGUUCUAACUAAUAUACAGCAACCACCACCAGCCCUGGGAGGAGGCCCGCCACACCACACCACACGGAUGCCAGAGCAUCAAUCUCUCUCAUGCAUCUGAUUGGCAGAAGUCAGGUCAUGUGCCUGCAAGGGAGUCUGGGUAGCGUUCAUCUUCUAUGGGGGAUGGGGAGAUUCAUUGCAUAGACCAGGAGCUCAACGUGGAGAGAGAAGAGCUACAGGGAAACCUCACCAAUUCUUAAAAGAAUUCCAUGAGGUCUCGACUACUGGAUCAGCCAAAGCAUCCAGCAGAAGGAAUGAGACACAGGAGUGGCUGUGACAUGGCAGUCCUGGCCACCAUACCCAGUCCAAAAAAGAGAAACAGGAAAGACCACGUACUCACCUGGUGGGGACUCCCCAGAAUACCUGAGCACCAGGCCUAAAAUUCAGUCAGCAAAAUUGCAUCCCAUGUAAAAUUCUGAUACCUGGUGGUCCUCCCAAGAGAAAGAAAUUACUAGAUGUGGGGGCAUACACCUGUAAUCCCCCGGUGACCCAUGAGGCUGAGGCAGGAAGAUCACUGAGUUUAAGGCCAGCCUCAGCAACUCAGGGAGGCCUAAGUAACUUAGCAAGUCCUUUACUCAAAAUAAAAAAUGAUCACACCUUAGCUCUGUUGCUGAUAUUUUCUGGUAUGUGAAAUUCCAGUUUGCACAUCUGGAAAAGGAUCACGAUAGUAGCUCCUUGAAAGAACUGCUGUGAGGAUCAUCCCCACCAAGCCCCUGAGUGCAGAAGCCUGGAAUCAGGUGUUUAAGUAUCCAAUGCCAUGGUCUCAGGAUGGGGGAGGGGGACCAGGUAGGGGCAUUUUAAACCUUGUAACCUUCCAGGAGGCUGUGCCAGCAAUAGUCUGGCCCUAUGCUCUCCGACAUCGGCAUUACUCCUUGGUUGUUAACUUACAUGCCAAGGGCACUUUGCAGAUGUAACUAAGGUUACUAAACAAUCAUCUGCAAACAGAGAGGUUAUCCCGCUAGGCCCAAGGUAACCACACGAACCCUUAAAAGCCAAAGAGGAAAGCAGAGUAAUUUGAGGCACCCAAAAAAUUCAAGGUGCCUUUGCUGAUCUUGAAGAUGGAGGGGUUUCAUGAGAAGGCACAGAACUCUGUCCAGAGCCGGUGAGCUUAGAAGACUUGAGAACUGCAGCCCCGGCCAAUGCCUUGACAUGAACCUGGAGAAUGCCUAAGCAGAGAAUCCAGCCUGGCCACAAUUCUGGCCUUCACAAGUGUGAGAGAACACAUGGGUGUUGUUUUAAAGUAUUAGGUUUGUGGUGAUUCAUUAUGCAGGGCUGGGGUGUGACUUAGUGGUAGAGCACUUGCCGAGCAUGGGCAAGGCCCUGGGUUCAACCCCCAGCACCACAAAAUAAAAACAAUUAAACCACUAAGUCAGAAGUACCACCCCUGGGUUAGUGAGAUUUCUAUCACCAUGACAAAAUACCUGAGAAAAAUUAACUGAAAAGGAGGAACUGGGCCUGGUGGCACACACCUCUAAUCCCAGCUACUCAGGAUGCUAAGACAGGAAGAUCAGGAGUUUGGGUUUCCUCCUCUUGGGAGGAUCAGCAGCAAUUUCCAAGACCUGGUCUCAAAAAAAAAAAGUGAGAGUUAGGAUUUAUUUAUUUAUUUUGGGUCAUAGUCUCAGAGGUUUUAGUCCAUGGUCACUUGGCCCAGUUGCUUUGCACCUGUGGUGGUAAAGUACAUCAUGGCAGCAGAAGCAUGUUGGCAGACCUGGGAAGCAAAGAGAGAAAGGGCUGAAUUCCCUAUAUCCCCCCCAAGGCCCCGCCCCAAUGACCUAACAGCCUUCCAUUAGGCCCCUCCUCUUAAAGUGCCACCAUCUCCUAAAAGCACCACAGAUCAGGUACCCAAGUCUUCAACACAUGGGCCUUUGGAGACAUUUAAGAUCCACACCCUAACAAUCCCCAUUAAUUAUUUGGUUGAGACACACUGAGCUCACUCAGAACAAAGUGAUCGGUGAAACCAAUGUUUAAACCCAAGUUCACCUGCCUCCACAGUCCACACUCUUGUUUUCCCCUUUGGAUUCUCCAAAUGAAGAAACUGAGACACAAGAGGAAUUGUCAGUGUCCACUCCUCAGUAUCUAAGCACAGAGAGGUGGGACCAGGCUAUGGGCUCCCAUCCUCCCCUGGAAGCCUCUGAACCAUAGUCUAUCCCCUCUUGCUUGAAUUGGCAAUUUCGUCCCAGGAAUCCCUGGAUCCCUUAAAGUCUUAGGUUAAAAGGUGCCAUUACCUCUGUGGAGCAUGGCAGAAGUCACCCAGAUGUGAUGAGACUUUAGGCUGAAAGCUUCUCUGUGAUGAGACCUAAAGCCACCAAGCCCUGGAGAGCAGCCCGAGGUGGUGGGCAAAGCUCGCUGCAUGUGGAGAGGAGCCUGGAGGGCCCAAAGGGAGGAAGAGAGUUCCUGGGGCAGAACAGGGAUGGCCAGCGGGCACUGAGGACCUCCUCUUCAUGUCCUAACUUCUCUGCUCCAUACUCCACUGAGAGGAAACUGGUGCCCUAUGAGCCAGGACAGACACAUCUGUCAAAGUGGGAUACUAUUUGACUGUCAUGGUGUUUUAAAAAAUCUGAAAGUCUCCCAACGUUUGAAAAGUGUGAGGUUUUACACCAAACACCAGACUUCUAACCCCUCUUGAAGAAGCAGAAGCUCUGGCCACAGCUGGCCCAUCUUCCCACUUGUCGGCCAGGGGGUGAAGUUAAGUGGCUGUAGCACCUUCUGAUGGUACCCGAGCUCCGGAGCAGCGGUCCCCACAGCCCCAUUCACCCGCCCUCACUUGCCUCACCUGCCUGGCUCUGGGGACAUCUGAGUUCCAAUCCUGGAGGCCCAAUUUGAUUCUGUAACCUUUCCCUUCUGUCCCUGCCCUGCCCAGUCCUGCGAGGCCCUAAAGCAGGGGACCCAGCCUGAUGUUAGCAAGGUGGAAGAACUUGGGGGCAUUAGGCUAGAAAUACAGGGGUCUCCUUCAGACCUGUCUUUGUGGACAGCUGUUCCCUUUGACCUAGUUUGGCUAAGAAUAUCUGAAUGUCUCUCUGAAUCUAUCUGCAUCAGUCUCCUGGGUCUUCUCCACUGCUUGGUGGGAGCAUAUGGGCGUGUAUCAAAACCCAUUUUCUCUGCCCUGGGGAGCCUGCCAGUUCCUAGGUACCUCAUGGGGCAGCAGCCUUUAGCCAAAAGGGCAAGUGAGAUAUGUGGCAAGGCUGCUCCCUCUCCACAUGGCCCUGUGGGAAAGCCCAUCUCCCCUCCACACCACCAGGAUCACUGCCUGCCCAGGGGAAGCAUCAAACCCCACUUUAUCCUCUGCCCCAGCCUCCUAGGAAAAGGCCCUGUAACAGAUCCAGAGGCGACACUUUGACUUCAUCGUGAGCUGAGAGGCUGGCGCAGCAACGGAAAAGACAAGAAAUGAGGAGUAAAGGGGGGAGGGAGGUGGAAAAAUUAAAUUUUGCGUGAUCAGCAAGGUUUCAAACAAUCGCUCGCCAACUGAAGUGGGUGCCACGUCUAUAAGUCAUUCUGUUUUAUAGACCAUUAGGAUCUCCAGAGAGAACCUGCAUGGAGACCACUGCUUUUUGUUGAAAUUAAAAUGUCAGAGAAAAAGAAAUAGAACAAAACAGGGAAUCUGCAAUUAAUUACCAGGCCAUAAAAAUUCAAUAAUCAGGAGGCAGAGCGGCCGCAGGCCCAGAGGUAUCAGAGCCAGCGUAACAAGAAUGGAAUACAUUAAUCUUUUCAAAUUAGUUUUUUAAUCUGACAGGGAUAUAUGGUGACAUGCCUCCCCUCCCCUCCUGUUCCCCCCACCUCCACAGCUCCGGCCUGAAGCCAGGCUCGGGGAGGAAGGUUCUGGUGUGAGCUGGGAGCCUGCAAGCCACUCAGACCCCCAGACGGGGUAGAGAAGGCCCCAGCUGAGCCCAGGCCCCGCGCCAGCUCGCCAGGUGGAAGAGCGCCAGAGGUGCCAGAGAAGCCUAUUCCCACUGGGUCCCAGGGCCAGAGGAGCUGGAUAUGCAUUGGGCCCGAGUUUAGAAAGCAAGAGAGAACCUGGGCAUGACUUAAAGAAGGGCCGAGCUUUAAGUCUCCAUUCCUUCUCCAGAAAAUGGGAAUGAUACCCCUGCCCCACAAGAUGAGGGUGAAUUGUGCCCAGUAUCCAGCAGGCGCUCAGAAAAGAGUCCCUACUGCUAUUUUAACUGCUGUCAGCUCUGGCAACAAGGAGCAGGGAGCACCAUCAGGUUGCUAUUCAGACAGCAUCUAUUUAGCGCCUUCCCUGUGCUCAGGCCUGAGGCAAACAGUGAACGGAAGCCGCAGUCCUCACCUGGGUAAUGGGAUUCGCAGUAAGGUCAAAGGAACCAGCUGGGCGUGGUGGCACACACUUGUAAUCUCAGCGACUCUGGAGGCUGAGGCAGGAGAAUCGUAAUUGGAGGCCAGACUAGGCAAUUUAGUGAGUCCCUCGGCAAUUUAGAGAGACCCUGUAUAAAAAAAUAAAUAUAUAAAAAUAAAAAUGUCCUGGGGGAUGAGCUCAGUAGUAAAGGGACUCUGGGUUCAAUUCCUGUACCAAAAUAAUAAUAAUAAUAAUAUUUUUUUUUUAAAUUGGCAGGGUCAACCAGGACCAAUAAGCAGAGAACAAGGAGUUUGUUUCUGGAGCAGAUCCACAGGCCUGGAGGCUGGUCGCUGGAGGUGCUGGGGAAGGCCUCUGGGGCUGCUGCAAGCCCACCAGCCCCUGGGAAGAACAAGCUCCUCCCCUGGCCCGCAGCCCAGUUCGGGGGCAGCUGUUGAUUGGUCAGAGUCAGCCCCACCCUGUUUCUCAUUGGACGCCAGGCUCUCGGCUCCCAGGACUCCACCCCAAACCUUCAGCGGGUGAGCCCCAGUCUCUGUUAGGCCCAGGAUCAGAUUCGGAUCAAACGGGUGGGCAAGUUUCUGACCUUCCGCCCCAGCCAAGCUGCCCUCUCGCAGACCCCACCACCCAACCCAUCCGUUAGCCCCCGGUGGAACUCAAUACCUGGUCAGGUGUUGGUCUUCAGUGAGCUCCAAAAACAAUCACCCCAGGGACUUCUGCAGAGCA
rnacentral:lncRNA from 1 species